CCCACAGAAGAAAUUUGUCAAUUAAUUAUUCGUGAACUUUCAGUGUUUGGAGCUGACACAUCUGGCAAUAGCACAAUCUUCGUGGAUUACCUGUCGGAGAAAGAGGUCGCGCUGCAGACAUGUUAUCCCUUCUUGUUUGGCAGCAAUCGGUUCUACUACGUGUUCUCAUCACUGGACUACUCAGAUUUUGGAGACCCAAGCUGCGUUCUCAGGGCCGCUGGAAAUUUGGAUGCAUUCGUAUUGACGAGCACGGCUGUCUGCAGUGCCCCACCUGAGCCCCAAGAGCUCCGACAAUGUCGCAUGAUUGCCUCUCAAUAAACAAUAAGUUUAGCCCCACCGGAACCCUGAACACAGAUAAUGUCGCUUUAUCGCCUCUCAAUAAACAAUAAUUUGAGCCCCCACCGGAACCCUGAACACAGAUAAUGUCGCUUGGUUGCCCCUCAAUAAACAUUAAGUUGAGCCCCAAGGGUAACCCUGAACUCCGACAAUGUCGCUUGAUUGCCUCUCAUUAAACAAUAAGUUGAGCCCCACCGGAACCCUGAACACAGAUAAUGUCUGCUUGGUUGCCCCUCAAUAAACAUUAAGUUGAGCCCCAAGGGUAACCCUGAACUCCGACAAUGUAGCUUGGUUGCCCCUCAAUAAACAAUAAGUUGAGCCCCACCGGCAACCCUGAACCCGACAAUGUCGCUUGGUUGCCCCUCAAUAAACAUUAAGUUGAGCCCCAAGGGUAACCCUGAACUCCGACAAUGUCGCUUGGUUGCCCCUCAAUAAACAAUAAGUUGAGCCCCACCGGCAACCCUGAACCCGACAAUGUCGCUUGGUUGCCCC